rnacentral:rRNA from 1 species
GGUCAAGCGACUAAGUGCAUGUGGUGGAUGCCUUGGCGACUACAGGCGAUGAAAGACGCGUAAGCCUGCGAUAAGCUUCGGGGAGCUGGCAAUAGAGCUUUGAUCCGGAGAUUUCUGAAUGGGGGAACCCACCCGCAAGGGUACUCCUGCCUGAAUACAUAGGGCAGGUAGAGCGAACGCAGUGAACUGAAACAUCUAAGUAGCUGCAGGAAAAGAAAUCAACCGAGAUUCCCAUAGUAGUGGCGAGCGAAUUGGGAAGAGCCUUCAUGAUUUAGCAUUCUUGUUAGUGGAACAGUCUGGAAAGUCUGGCCAUAGUGGGUGAUAGCCCCGUACGCGAAAACAAGAGUGUGGAACUAGGCAUGAGACAAGUAGGGCGGGACACGUGAAAUCCUGUCUGAACAUGGGGGGACCAUCCUCCAAGGCUAAAUACUCGUAGUCGACCGAUAGUGAACCAGUACCGUGAGGGAAAGGCGAAAAGAACCCCGGGAGGGGAGUGAAAUAGAUCCUGAAACCGCAUGCAUACAAACAGUGGGAGCCCCUGCACAAAGAGUCUUUAGGGUUCUUUCGAGGAGCGCGCAGCGCGACUCAAAAGAAUAUAAAGAAGAAAUAGAUCUUUGUGCAAGCAGAGAACCCGGAGGGUUCUUCGUGCAGGGGUGACUGCGUACCUUUUGUAUAAUGGGUCAGCGACUUACGUUCAGUUGCGAGCUUAACCGAAUAGGGGAGGCGAAGCGAAAGCGAGUCUUAAUAGGGCGCAUAGUAGCUGGGCGUAGACCCGAAACCGGAUGAUCUAUCCAUGGCCAGGAUGAAGGUGCGGUAACACGCACUGGAGGUCCGAACCCACUAAUGUUGAAAAAUUAGGGGAUGAGCUGUGGAUAGGGGUGAAAGGCUAAACAAAUCCGGAGAUAGCUGGUUCUCCUCGAAAGCUAUUUAGGUAGCGCCUCAUGUAUCACUCACGGGGGUAGAGCACUGUAAUGUUAGUGGGGGCCAUUGCGGCUUACUGCGGCAUAGCAAACUCCGAAUACCGUGAAGUGCGAGCAUGGGAGACAGACAUCGGGUGCUAACGUCCGGUGUCAAGAGGGAAACAACCCAGACCGACAGCUAAGGUCCCAAAUGACGUGCUAAGUGGAAAACGAUGUGGGAAGGCAUAGACAGCUAGGAAGUUGGCUUAGAAGCAGCCAUCCUUUAAAGAAAGCGUAAUAGCUCACUAGUCGAGUCGUCCUGCGCGGAAGAUGUAACGGGGCUAAGCACGUAACCGAAGCUUCGGAUAUGUAAUUUAUUACAUAUGGUAGAGGAGCGUUCUGUAAGUCUGCGAAGGUGUCUGGUAAUGGAUGCUGGAGAUAUCAGAAGUGCGAAUGCUGACAUGAGUAGCGAUAAAGGGAGUGAAAAGCUCCCUCGCCGAAAACCCAAGGUUUCCUGCGCAACGUUCAUCGGCGCAGGGUGAGUCGGCCCCUAAGGUGAGGCAGAGAUGCGUAGCUGAUGGGAAACGGGUCAAAAUUCCCGUACUUUUAUUUACUGCGAUGUGGGGACGGAGAAGGUUAGGUGGGCCGGGUGUUGGAUGUCCCGGUUUAAGUGUGUAGGCAGAUCCCUUAGGCAAAUCCGGGGGGUUAAUGCUGAGGCAUGAUGACGGUGCUCCAUUGGAGCCGAAGUCACUGAUACCAAGCUUCCAAGAAAAGCCACUAAGCUUCAGGUAAAUGAAAACCGUACCGCAAACCGACACAGGUGGGUAGGAUGAGAAUUCUAAGGCGCUUGAGAGAACUCGGGUGAAGGAACUCGGCAAAUUAGCUCCGUAACUUCGGGAGAAGGAGCGCCCCGGUAGAGUGUAGAGACUUGCUCUCGAAGCUCGAUGGGGUUGCAGUGAAAAGGUGGCUGCGACUGUUUAAUAAAAACACAGCACUCUGCAAACACGAAAGUGGACGUAUAGGGUGUGACGCCUGCCCGGUGCCGGAAGGUUAAUUGAUGGGGUGCAAGCUCUUGAUCGAAGCCCCGGUAAACGGCGGCCGUAACUAUAACGGUCCUAAGGUAGCGAAAUUCCUUGUCGGGUAAGUUCCGACCCGCACGAAUGGCGUAACGAUGGCCACACUGUCUCCACCCGAGACUCAGCGAAGUUGAAAUGUUUGUGAAGAUGCAAUCUCCCCGCGGCUAGACGGAAAGACCCCAUGAACCUUUACUGUAGCUUUGCAUUGGACUGUGACAAGACUUGUGUAGGAUAGCUGGGAGCCUGUGAAGCGAGGACGCUAGUUCUCGUGGAGGCAACGUUGAAAUACCAGCCUGGUGUUGUUGCGGUUCUAACCUGGGUCCAUUAUCUGGAUCGGGGACCGUGCAUGGUGGGCAGUUUGACUGGGGCGGUCUCCUCCCAAAUUGUAACGGAGGAGUACGAAGGUCUUCUAGGUACGGUCGGACAUCGUACUGAUAGUGCAAUGGCAUAAGAAGGCUUGACUGCGAGACUGACACGUCGAGCAGGUGCGAAAGCAGGUCAUAGUGAUCCGGUGGUUCUGUAUGGAAGGGCCAUCGCUCAACGGAUAAAAGGUACUCUGGGGAUAACAGGCUGAUUCCUCCCAAGAGUUCAUAUCGACGGGGGAGUUUGGCACCUCGAUGUCGGCUCAUCACAUCCUGGGGCUGUAGCCGGUCCCAAGGGUAUGGCUGUUCGCCAUUUAAAGUGGUACGUGAGCUGGGUUUAAAACGUCGUGAGACAGUUUGGUCCCUAUCUGCCGUGGGCGCUGGAUAUUUGACGGGGGCUGCUCCUAGUACGAGAGGACCGGAGUGGACGUGCCUCUGGUGUACCGGUUAUGACGCCAGUCGUAUCGCCGGGUAGCUAAGCACGGAAGAGAUAAACGCUGAAAGCAUCUAAGCGUGAAACUUGCCUGAAGAUAAGAUAUCCCUUGCACCUUGAGUGCACUAAAGGGUCGUUGAAGACCACAACGUUGAUAGGCUGGGUGUGGAAGCGCAGUAAUGCGUUAAGCUAACCAGUACUAAUUGCCCGUGAGGCUUGAUCCUAUA